GAUGAAGAACGUAGCGAAAUGCGAUACGUAAUGUGAAUUGCAGAAUUCAGUGAAUCAUCGAAUCUUUGAACGCAUAUUGCGCUCUCUGGUAUUCCGGAGAGCAUGCUUGUUUGAGUAUCAGUAAACACCUCAACUUCCAUAUCUUUUUUGAAAUGGGAGUUGGACUUGAGUGAUCCCAACGCUUUUCCUCACCGAAAAGUGGCGGGUUACUUGAAAUGCAGGUGCAGCUGGACUUUUCUCUGAGCUAUAAGCAUAUCUAAUUAGUCUGCCUAAAAAACAGAUUAUUACCUUUGCUGCAGCUAACAUAAAGGAGAUUAGUUCUUGUGCUGACUGAUGCAGGAUUCACAAAGACAGGCUUCGGCCGACUUUGUAAACUCGAUCUCAAAUCAAGUAAGACUACCCGCUGAACUUAAGCAUAUCAAUAAGCGGAGGA
rnacentral:misc_RNA from 1 species